GGCAGAUAUGGGAAUAUGGACAACCUGAUCUGAGCCCAGCCCUGACCAGCCUCCCCCAACAGAACGCCUGUGCCGCCACUGUCCCAAGGACUGGACAUUCUUCCAAGGAAACUGUUACUUCAUGUCUAACUCCCAGCGGAACUGGCACAACUCCGUAACCGCCUGCCGGGAAGUGAGGGCCCAGCUCGUCGUAAUCAAAAGUGCUGAGGAGCAGAACUUCCUACAGCUGCAGACUUCCAGAAGUAACCGCUUCUCCUGGAUGGGACUUUCAGACCUAAAUCAGGAAGGCACGUGGCAAUGGGUGGACGGCUCACCUCUGUCACCCAGCUUCCAGCGAUACUGGAACAGUGGAGAACCCAACAAUAGUGGGAAUGAAGACUGUGCGGAAUUUAGUGGCAGUGGCUGGAACGACAAUCGAUGUGACAUUGACAAUUACUGGAUCUGCAAAAAGCCCGCAGUCUGCUUCAGAGACGAAUAGUUGCUUCCCUGCUGGCCUCGGCCUCCAUUGUGGUAUAGCAGAACUUCACCCACUUGUAAGCCAGCGUUCCUUCUCUCCAUCCUUGGACCUUCACAAAUGCCCUGAGACGGUUCUCUGUUCGAUUUUUCAU
rnacentral:sRNA from 1 species